rnacentral:rRNA from 1 species
UACGUAGGGUGCAAGCGUUGUCCGGAAUUAUUGGGCGUAAAGAGCUCGUAGGCGGUCUGUCGCGUCUGCUGUGAAAACUCAGGGCUUAACCCUGAGCUUGCAUCGGGUACGGGCAGACUAGAGUGCGGUAGGGGAGACUGGAAUUCCUGGUGUAGCGGUGAAAUGCGCAGAUAUCAGGAGGAACACCGGUGGCGAAGGCGGGUCUCUGGGCCGAUACUGACGCUGAGGAGCGAAAGCGUGGGGAGCGAACAGG